CUUGCCUUGCGGAUAAGCCGUGCUGUGGGAGCCUCAAGCUGACCCACACGCAGCUUGUGCCAGUUCAUACUGCUGAACCACCUGAAGACAAGAUGCACAACUGACCAGUGCCACACGGCCAAAUCCUCCGACUCCAAGUGUGACAGGAUCUCCUUGAUAGCGACCCUCCUGAUAGAAGACUGGAACCAGAUCCUUCAAUCUCAGAGUGGAGCUGGGGCUGAGAAAGAGUGGCACUCACCUCGACUUUUCUGGAGGUUGCGCCUCCUGCAUCACUUUGGAGCUGGAAGUGAAAAUAAAUUUGACAGGAUAUGAGCAGGAAACUAACUGGGGCAGUCUAUUUCACCUCCACGUCACACUCUCGGUUCUCCGGGAUUGGUUCUGAAGCUAUGACAGCUGCACGGCUCUUCCUGACCUCAGGUUCAAUCUCAUUACCGGUCUGAGAGGGAAAGUCUGUAACAGAAACAAAUGGAUGGUUACAGAUCGCCAUUAGAAAUCGCAUCAAUCAUGUGUGUAAGUAGAUAAGUAGAUGUGUCCCUGUUCUGUGUUCCCGUGAAGAGCUGCUUACCGAGAUCAUGAUACUGAGUCUGCAGUUGUUGCAGGAGUUUCUCUUUCUCGGUGAGUCGUUUUUCUGUGAAUGUGAAGAAAAAAAACACAUAAUAAAUGUGCAAAACACAUUAAAAGUGACAAUUUCUGUGCUUUGUAUAUAAAAGAUGGAUAUGGGUCUGAAACAUAAGCCAAAGUAAAUUCUCUCUAAUGGCCUGCAUGGAUCCACUCCUCUGAAUGCAAACGUAAUGAAUCACCCUAGAAUGACCCUAGUUGUCUCUUGAUUUAUGACUUCACUAAAUACCUUAAUAGUGAGUUUAUUUUAUGAAUCACUCGUUUCGAGUCUUUGAGUCACAUACUGAUGUCACUUUUGUCAAUUAAGAUCACAAUCAAAGACAAAUAACAUAAAGCAUACAUUGGGCAUGGAUACAUUUAUGACUGACAAGUCAUAAAUGUAUGUAAUGUCAUCCAUUCAUGAGUAUAUAAUGUCAUCCACUUAUCAGCCUGAUCCAUCUCUCAUUGUGGUUUAAGCCCAUAAACCAAUGAGUAACUGCAUGGUUUUCUACAUGUGUACUCUGUGUUUUAUGUACAGUGGGGCCAUGCUAAUAACUGAUCCAUGCUAAUAACUGAUCCAUGCUAAUAACUGAUCUCUGGCCAUGAUCAGAAAAAAAAGUCUAAAAUUUUAGUUGCAUCCCUCCAACAUUUUACACUCAUCAAUCACAUAAUUAGGUACAUGUUGCUAGUACUGGGUUGGAUCAGAGCUGUCUUAAUUCUUCAUUACAUAGAUUCAUCAUGGUGCUGGAAACAAUCCUCAGAGACUUUAUUCCAUAUUGACCUGACAGCAUCACAUGAUUUUGUCACAUGUCAUCCAUGGCAUGAUUUUCCCAUUCCAUCACACCCCAAAGGUGACCAUGCGAGACAUUUCAGUACAGUGAAACUCUCAUGUUCAAGUAACCAGUUUGAGAUGACAUGAGCUUUAUGACAUGCCACAUUAGCCACCAGAGGAUGGACAUGUGGUCAUAAUAGGAUGAUAAGAUCUAAUACUAAGGCACCCAAAGUGUGCCAAGAAAAUACCUCCCAUGCCAUUACACCAUCAUCACCAGAUCAUGGAUCCAUGGUUUGAUGUUGAUGUGAAAUGUUGACCAUCUACCAUCCAAAACAAGCAGCAAAAGUGGAGACUUAUCAGACCAGGGAAUCUUCUCUAAUCCAGUUUCUGUGAGCAUAUGAAGUUUCCUGUUCAAACUGCUUCAGCCGUUUGUCUUGACCAUGUCUACCUGUCUAAGUUCCACUGAUUCCACAUCUUAAGUAAAAGUCCUGUGAAGGCCUCAUUCUGGUUCUCUAAAUUUGAACUCAACCUUCAGAACUUUAAGAGCUCCACCUUUAAUUCAUGUGUUCAUUUAUAUCCCAAUAUUCACCUCAAUGAACCUGCUAUUGCACAAUGAAGUCUCUACAAUAUUUAAAGCUUAUAUAGUUAUUGUUGUACUCACCUAGGUCCUUAUUUUGCCUCUGCAGCUCCUUGUUGAUCAGACAUUGCUUUUCCAGCUGCUGCUUCAGCUCCUCUAUUUGCUUCUCCAUAGCUACAGAGGGAAUAAGGUUUUUUUAAAAAGGAAGAUUUAUGGGAGAAUUUCAUAUAACAGGAAAACGAGAAGUUGUAUAAAUUAUGCACCUGAACACAGACAUAAAAUGUAGCCCCAGUUGUUGUGAUAUUUGUGGAAACUUCUACACACAAAGCCAUAAAGGGUGAUAUUUAAACUGUAACUGUGUUGAUACCUUUUUCUCAAAGCACUGAACCCUACUUCACUGGCAGCACACAGCAAGAGCCCUGCUGAAUAAUGCAGACUAAUGAUGGACAGUCAACGGGGUGCUUUCUGAGUGCUGUCACACCCUGCCAGCAUUUGCUGAAGAUCUGUUACAGUUUCUGUGACUGAUAAUGACACAAAACCUGUCAAAGCUGUAUAAAAACCCCUUUAAAUGAUAGAUCGCUUUUUCUAGGCUUUGCGUUUAUAUGCAGAUUAUUUAUAUUUGCUGGUUGUGGGUUGUUACACUAAUGUGAGACAUAAAAAACCCUGUGACUAUGCAUAAGCAGGUCAUGUUAACUGACAGAUUCAUUAGCACUGCUGCAUGAGAUUAACAAUGAAGUUAACCACAAGCCAGAUCCAAUACCUCUCUUAAUCGAGGUGACCUGUUUAAAGAACUUCUGCAAACAAGAUUCCUUUUCUGUUUUCUUUUUUUAAACACUCCAAUCAAUACAAACACACUUGGAUAUGUGCCCAUUUUACUAAACACACAGUAAAAACCCUGGAGAGGCUGUUUGCCUGUGUUCACGGCACACAUCGUAUGACCCCAGGUUACUGCUGCCUCACCCUGAACAUUGGACAGGCCUAAGAUUAAACUAAACUCAUAAAGUCAUUUAGUAAAACACCAGCAGAAUGUGACAGGGAAAUAUAAACAGCUCCUGUUCUGCAAGGGAGCAUGGGCACUUAAAAAAGACAUGUACAGCGGCCUAAACUAGAUAUUUUUCCAGGGAUUUCAGUACAGAAAGCGACGUGACUGCAGUGCACAGAGCUCAUAAAUGUGUUACAGAAAAGAAAAAGACCUUAAUGGUCAGUUUACACAGAUCAUAAAAAUAUGUCCCUACAUGCUUACUUGAAUAUCAGAUUUGCCUCAGGGUGGUUCGUUAAAUUGUCACCAAAGCACGCACUAAGACAGAGCCGUGCACAAACACAAUUUGUAAACUUUCUAGGAACUUGUAGCUGUUGAGAAAGACAAUCUGAGCUGAUCGAGAUGAUAACCUUUAGUGCCUGCAGGCUGACACUCAAUGGGGGAAAUUGCUCAGUUAUUCUUCAGCCCUGGGGCAACUGAUAGGUAGGUGGCUGUAUUUCUGUUUGAAUAUUUGCUGUUUCAUUGGUCCAUGUUUGUUAUUUUUGUUACAAUGGUAAAAAAAAAAAAAUCAAAAACAAAACAGGUUAUUAUUUAAAUACUGAAUGAACUUUAAAAGUGAGCAACAUUCAUUUAACAUGCGUAUAUUCAUAUAUUCUGUAAAUGAUCCUGGAGGAUCCCAGGAAACAUGAUAUUAAAGCAGACAACGCCAAAAAAAGGAGAGAGAAAAAGAAAGAAAAACAGAUAUUUGUGUCUGCUUUUCAGCUGCACGGCAGGAACAUGAUGCCAGCUACCAUUAUACUGACACAGCCAGCAUACAGUCCACUUCAUACUGCUUCAUUAUUAAUUCAUGGCCAUGUGUAACUACAGCUGAAUUCUCAUAAGAUACUCUGUGAUAGAAACCUGGAAGGAAGUCAUGUGCUUUGUCUUUAUUAGGCAGCCUUUUCUCAGAUAUGACGUUUUGUUAAUCGCUGUAGUAAAUCAAAAACCAAUAAAACUUAAGCUGAACCAAUGCUGAUCUGUACUUUAAACACAGCGGUAAUAUAUUUAAAGAACCGAUAAACGCCUGAAGGUGGCCUGUCUGACCUAAUCUACAACUCUGAGACACUAUUUGCACGUAAUCUGUGGACGAAUAGACUGAAGCCACACUCACCUGCAGGCAUGGU